CCGGAGAGGGAGCCUGAGAAACGGCUACCACAUCCAAGGAAGGCAGCAGGCGCGCAAAUUACCCAAUCCCAACACGGGGAGGUAGUGACAAUAAAUAACAAUAUGGGGCCUUUACGGGUCUCGUAAUUGGAAUGAGUACAAUUUAAAUCUCUUAACGAGGAACAAUUGGAGGGCAAGUCUGGUGCCAGCAGCCGCGGUAAUUCCAGCUCCAAUAGCGUAUAUUAAAGUUGUUGCAGUUAAAAAGCUCGUAGUUGAAUUUCGGGAUCUAUCCGUCGGUCGGGCCUCACGGUCCGCACUGGUGUGAUGGAUUCCUACCUUCUGAAUAACCGGUAUGCCAUUAAUUUGAUGUGCCGGGGAAGCAGAACCAUUACCUUGAAAAAAUUAGAGUGCUCAAAGCAGGCUUGUGCCUGAAUACAUUAGCAUGGAAUAAUAAAAUAGGACGGCAUGGUUCUAUUUUGUUGGUUUCUAGGAUCACCGUAAUGAUUAAUAGGGAUAGUUGGGGGCAUUAGUAUUCAAUUGUCAGAGGUGAAAUUCUUGGAUUUAUUGAAGACUAACUUCUGCGAAAGCAUUUGCCAAGGAUGUUUUCAUUAAUCAAGAACGAAAGUUAGGGGAUCGAAGACGAUCAGAUACCGUCGUAGUCUUAACCAUAAACUAUGCCGACUAGGGAUCGGACGAUGUUAAUUUUAUAAUGACUCGUUCGGCGCCU
rnacentral:rRNA from 1 species